rnacentral:rRNA from 1 species
GAUCCUGGCUCAGGAUGAACGCUAGCUACAGGCUUAACACAUGCAAGUCGGAGGGGCAGCGCAGUGUAGCAAUACNGUGGGCGGCGACCGGCGCACGGGUGCGUAACGCGUACUCCUAACCUUCCCGUUACUCAGGGAUAGCCUUCCGAAAGGGGAGAUUAAUACCUGAUGGUGUUCAAAUUCCGCAUGUUAUUUGAACUAAAGAUUUAUCGGUAACGGAUGGGGAUGCGUGACAUUAGGUAGAUGGCGGGGUAACGGCCCACCAUGCCUACGAUGUCUAGGGGUUCUGAGAGGAAGGUCCCCCACACUGGAACUGAGACACGGUCCAGACUCCUACGGGAGGCAGCAGUGAGGAAUAUUGGUCAAUGGACGGAAGUCUGAACCAGCCAUGUCGCGUGAAGGAUGACUGUCCUAUGGAUUGUAAACUUCUUUUAUAUGGGAAUAAAGUGAGAAACGUGUUUCUUUUUGUAUGUACCAUAUGAAUAAGCAUCGGCUAACUCCGUG